GACGGACGCUGGCGGCGUGCUUAACACAUGCAAGUCGAACGGAAAGGCCCCAGCUUGCUGGGGUACUCGAGUGGCGAACGGGUGAGUAACACGUGGGUGAUCUGCCCUGCACUCUGGGAUAAGCCUGGGAAACUGGGGCUAAUACCGGAUAGGACCGUGCUCUAGUGUGUGCGGUGGAAAGUUUUUCGGUGCAGGAUGAGCCCGCGGCCUAUCAGCUUGUUGGUGGGGUAGUGGCCUACCAAGGCGGCGACGGGUAGCCGGCCUGAGAGGGUGUCCGGCCACAUUGGGACUGAGACACGGCCCAGACUCCUACGGGAGGCAGCAGUGGGGAAUAUUGCACAAUGGGCGCAAGCCUGAUGCAGCGACGCCGCGUGCGGGAUGACGGCCUUCGGGUUGUAAACCCCUUUCGGCAGGGACGAAGCGUUUGUGACGGUACCUGCAUAAGAAGCACCGGCUAACUACGUG
rnacentral:rRNA from 1 species